GAAAAUGAAUGUGUAUUAAAAAUAUACAGU
rnacentral:piRNA from 1 species